UACAGAGGGUGCGAGCGUUGUCCGGAAUCACUGGGCGUAAAGGGCGCGUAGGCGGGCGGCCGCGUCCGGGGUGAAAUCCCACGGCUCAACCGUGGAACGGCCUCGGAUACGGGCGGCCUCGAGGGGGGUAGGGGCAUCUGGAACUGUGAGUGGAGCGGUGAAAUGCGUUGAUAUUCGACAGGAACUCCGGUGGCGAAGGCGAGGUGCUGGACCCCAUCGUCG
rnacentral:rRNA from 1 species